AUGAGGAACUGGACGGAAGAUAUGGCUGUGAGAAGAGACAAAUACGACUAUGAAUAUGGUCGUGGUGUUGGGAUGGUCGAUGACAACAUUACAGAGGAGUAUAGGCUGAAAAAAAUUGCAGAAGAAGAAGCUCAAAAAACCAAGAAAGCUAGUAGCAAAAAAUCUAACGUUACUGGAACGAGGAAAGAGGGCAGUACCUCGGAGGCUUCGAGCCAGAAGCCUACUAUGGACCGGAUUUUGAGUGAGAUGAAUGAGCUUCGGAAGGAAAUGCUUCGUUUGCCAGAGUUAUGCGCACAGAGGAUGAUUGAGAAACUAAACAAAACCGACGUCUUCUACAAACCCAGUAACCUGAAAGAGGACGAAGAGAAUCUGUACGGAGGCAUUAAUGAGUCUUCAAACGAUGGUGGACGUCCGAAAAAAGAGUUUGUAUAUCAAAAAGAUGAUUCAGACCGGUUCCGCACACCUUCCAAAAAGAAUGUGCAAAAGGAUGAUGACGGUGUUGAUGUAACUUCUCGUGGAAACACACCUUUUUACUGCACACCUGAGUACUGGGAUAGUUUCAAGGGUGAUAUGGAUGAUCCUAUCCAAGUACCAGGAGUAUCAGAUGAAAAAGCUGCCACAUCUUUAGGGACGGACGAAAUCGCAUCGCAUGCGUCGCUUGGUUCUGAAGGAGUACAAGAGGAAGUGGAGGAGGUUACUGGCAGGCGCAAGCGCAAAGGAUCACAACAUGUCAAGUCUCCUUAUGUGGUCCCUAAACCGAACAAGCGUGCAAAACGUUCAGCUAAAGGAAAAUUGUUCCAAAAUGGUGGUGUUAACAAAUCUAGUGAUGAGUAUGAUGUGGUGAAAGCGUCCAUCAAGUACGUGCGCGCGCAUGAGUAUUCAGAAAAACAUGCCAAAACAGAAAUUUUCAAUGAUGGCAUGGAAGAAGGUCUCACUGUGCGGAGAGCUUGUCAGAUUAUUAACCAUGAGUGGCUAAGUGGCGACGUAAUUAAUGCAUACUCAUCAUAUUUGGUCGACAAAGUUAAUGAUGAUCGUUUCAUGUUGACAACUUGGAGGAUACAUUGGUUACUUCACAUUAGACCCGGAAAGAAGACCGCCGGUAACGAUUAUGAAGCAGAGUCGCAUAGUAAUGGACCCAUGAAUAGAUGUGAGGACGAGUAUUUCAAAAAAUCAAAGACUUACAUUCCUCUAAACAAGCAAAACACUCACUGGAUUACUGUCGUCAUGCAUCGCGGGAAGAGAGAGUUUCAGGUUCUUGACUCAUUGAUGACCGGAAAACUUGACAGUGUUACUAGAGAACUCGUUGAGGACCUGAGAAAACAACCAGCAGAAGAUAUUCAAGAAGCAAAUGCAGCCGAAAUUGUGAAUUAUCCGGAUGUUUCCAAUUAG
rnacentral:rRNA from 1 species